GACGAACGCUGGCGGCGUGCUUAACACAUGCAAGUCGAACGGAAAGACCCUGCUUUUGUGGGGUGCUCGAGUGGCGAACGGGUGAGUAACACGUGAGUAACCUGCCCUUGACUUUGGGAUAACUUCAGGAAACUGGGGCUAAUACCGGAUAGGAGCUCCUGCUGCAUGGUGGGGGUUGGAAAGUUUCGGCGGUUGGGGAUGGACUCGCGGCUUAUCAGCUUGUUGGUGGGGUAGUGGCUUACCAAGGCUUUGACGGGUAGCCGGCCUGAGAGGGUGACCGGCCACAUUGGGACUGAGAUACGGCCCAGACUCCUACGGGAGGCAGCAGUGGGGAAUAUUGCACAAUGGGCGGAAGCCUGAUGCAGCAACGCCGCGUGCGGGAUGACGGCCUUCGGGUUGUAAACCGCUUUCGCCUGUGACGAAGCGUGAGUGACGGUAAUGGGUAAAGAAGCACCGGCUAACUACGUG
rnacentral:rRNA from 1 species